rnacentral:rRNA from 1 species
UACGUAGGGUGCAAGCGUUGUCCGGAAUUAUUGGGCGUAAAGGGCUCGUAGGCGGUCUGUCGCGUCGGAUGUGAAAAUCCAGGGCUCAACCCUGGACCUGCAUUCGAUACGGGCAGACUAGAGUUCGGCAGGGGAGACUGGAAUUCCUGGUGUAGCGGUGAAAUGCGCAGAUAUCAGGAAGAACACCCGUGGCUAAGGCGGCUCUCUAGUACGGUACUGACGCUGAGACGCGAAAGCGUGGGGAGCGAACAGG